CCAUCAUCACCGGUUAUUAUUCCAUGAUUAACUCUCCUCUCUACCCUCAGUGGAGGCCCAGAGCAAUCAGCCUUCACAUCUGAAAGAGCCUAAUAGCAAGCUGCAGCAUUUUUGCAAUGUGAGAGUGAGGAGCUGAGAUGAAAACCCAAGCUUCCUAGUUCCUAAUCCAGAGCUUGUAGUGUCUUUGUGAUACAGCCUUGCAGAGAGGUUAAAAAAAAAUCCCCAAAUGAAAACUGAUGGCUUAUCUAUUUAAAGUAGAGGCAGCAAAUAACUCAUGAAUUCAUGCCUUUGCUUAUUACGUCCCUUGCAGUGGAGAUGGAUGGAUGAGUCGAUCUAUCUCUGCCUACAUGUCUCUCUGCACUAUGCAAGGAAGAUGAGAUAGGUUGGGGAAAGCAGUGAGGUAUGAUGGAUAGAGGACAUGGCCGAGACUCAGAGAACUGAAGAUAUAGCCCUAGUUCUGCCGACAGAGUGAACUUGAGGAAAAGAAAACAUCAGCACCAGAGCCAAACCUAUUUCUCCGGGGAGAGGAUUCCUGCAGGGGAGGUCUGCUCAUGUUCUGGGGGCUGCCCUCCAUCAUGGCUACCUACCUUCGGAAUGUUUGCUUUCACUGGGCCCUCCUGGAUGGAUUGGCAACUCUUCCCAAGUCAGACCCUGGUAUGCCCUUGUUGGUUUCUAGCAGUUAGCAGGCUGGGCAAGGAGGCGACUGGGAAGAGUCCUCCUCAAUGAACGCAUGCGUGUAAGAGGGAAGGAAUGAACUACGAACAGGAAGUAAAUUUCUUUCCAAGAGAAAAAAGCUGGAAAAAUAAUUGUUCCUCUUGUUUAGAAGAUGACAGCUUUUUUUUUUCUUCAUUAAGCGCCCUUCUCUUCAAAAGACAAAAAAGGUAAGAUUCUCUGGGUCAGAAGCCAGACAGACUUUUUCACAGCUCUGAAAAAGUGAGAACAGCGAAUUCACUUCCCUUCUCCCAAAAGGCAUGUGCCACCGGGUGCUCCUGCUCCCUGCAAGAUCCCUUCCUGUAGAGUUAGGAGGUAGAGGUGUGGCUCCGAUGUGUUCCCCAGGCGUCCCUGUGAGGUCGGCGCCCUCCCCUGUCCAUUCCCCUUAGAGCCUUGGGUCGCUUCCCACCCCGCGUCCCCUGGGACACCACUGGACGCCUGGCCCUGCCCGUGAGCGCCGCUCCACUCCGCCUGGAUGUGGGCACGCGGGAAGGCCACUGCCCAGCCGCCACUCCCGGCUUCCCUGAAGGGCAGGGCAGGGGCGGGAACGGAAGGGAGCUGCAUGGAAGGAAGCCGUUUGGGAACUGUGGUUGGUCUGACUGGGUGUUGGGUUUGUGGCUACCCAGAGAAAGGCACGGAGUUAGCCCUUCGCAGUGGGUGACGCCCUGCUCCUCGCCCGGUCCCCCUCAGCUCAGCCUCCUGUGAAAGAGAAUCUGGGGCUACAACGCACUUCCCUCCCCAACUCCGGGGAACGCCGUCUCCCUGCAGCGUAGUAGGAAAGGCGCCCCUGCAGGGGUGCAGCUGCAGCCCCAGGGAGAAGCCCCUUCAACCCCCCACGCUAGGAGAGGCCCACCGCCCUGGCCCAGAGGUCGGCCUGGCCUCAGUUUCCCUCCCUCUGUCCUCCGCCCCCAGCUCCCUCUCCCCAGAACUAGGCAGGGCAGGACAGCCCUUGGGGGUCUUGGCUCUUUACUUGGGUCCCUUUAGAGCUCUUCCUAUCAGUGAGAGAUUUAUUCACAAAGACGAUUCUUUUUGUUGUUCUGGGGCUAUUGACUCAAAUACACAAAAUACAAACACGGAGUCACUCAGAUACUACGAUCUCUCUAGUCUGUGUUAAUCUAGUACAAUUUCUCCCUAAGUAGAACAUUGAUCCAGGCACUGACCCCAUCCCACGAUGAGGAGUAUUAUUUUCUGUUGCUCUGCACGACGAUGUCAGGACAGCAUCCCCCUUCCCCACCCUGCCCAGUCCUCCCAGGCUUGCCUGGGCCUGUGUGAAGGGAUAGUGCCUGUCCCAGAACCACCACUCACCCCUUGGUGGCAACACAAAGAAUAAGCACGACUGCUUUUGGGCCCUUAGCCCAGAUCCUGGGCCAGGUGUCCCCACACCUGUUAGGGAAGCAGUAAGGAUUUCUUCCUGUGCCAGCAAUCUCUUGCUGAGGGGAUGGGAGGGGGAUUCAUUCUCUGAUUUCACGUAUGGUUUUAGUUCCCAUGAGAUCCCCCAAGGACUUUGUAGCCACAGCUGUUUGUCUAUUCUCAGCUAUGCAGGCAGAAAGGCAGGCAACAGGGUCUUCUCCUCGGAGGAGCUAUGGUGUCUGCCUUCAGGGAGUGCUCCCACACUUCGGGAGGCUAAACUUUCCUCAUUGAGACAGCACAGCUUCCUGUGAAGCUGUAGAGUAAGGAACGCUGCCCAGCACACACUGGGGGUUGAGGGCUGUGGGGAGAGGAUCCUCACUCAGAGAGGGGGCAGGUUGCCAUCAGGCAAUGCAGGGACUUUGUCAAGGGCCAGAAAUCUGUUUUCCGUUCCUAUGUCCCACCCUGGAUCUCCUCGUUCUCCUUCCCCAGUAUUUGCCAGGCAUAGGAGACUCUGUAGUGGCUUUAACUAUGGUGCUGGAGGGAGCAUGACUGGGUUGUGUGUUUGGGGAGGGGUGGAAGAGUGGAGGUGCAUGGCAUGUAUGUGUAUGUGUACAUGGAUCACAUAUGAUGGGCACUUACAUGUUGCUUUUUAAUGAGAGAUGUAUUCAGUUCAAAGGACAUUUAAGGCGUUUAUGCUGAGCUGGUGCUGCCAGGUGUGUGCUGCUUAGAAUGAAAAGAUACAUCACACAUGUUCUAUGCAGUAAAAUAACCUCAAUCCAGUGGAACAGUGUUUCUCCAACUUUUCAGGCCGUGAUUCACAGUAAAAAUUCUUUUCUUAAAAAUUAUAUUUAUUUGUGUGAAAUAUAACAUAAAAUUUAUUAUCUUAACCAUUUUAAGUGUACAGUUCAGUAGUGUUGAGUAUAUUCAUGUACAACAGAUCUCCAUAACUCUUUCAAUGUGAAAAAUUAAACUCUGUACCCAUUAAAAAUAAAUCCCCAUUAGAAAUAUCUUUUAUGUUGCAACCUCAGUGCACACACACGUGCGUGCACGCGUGCGCACACACACACACACACACACACAACUGCUUGAAAAUUUUCGUGAAACAAAUACUUGCUCUUACUCCAUGGAACACACUCUGAUAUUCUUUUCUAUUCUACUUACUUAUUUUUGAAAAUGCUGGUCAAGACCCAAUAACUUCUUUCAGUUAGUGUGCUUUAGUGGGUUUCACACCUGCAGUUUGAAAUGCUCUGCUGUAGAAUACAGACAAGAUCACAAAUUGCCAUGUGAUCAGGCAGAGUCAGGUUCGGGGCACAGGGCAGGAGCAGGAAGACAGUUCUGGAGGAUUUGUAGGAGGGAGGGAAACCACUGAG
rnacentral:lncRNA from 10 species